rnacentral:rRNA from 1 species
GACGAACGUUGGCGGCGUGUCUAACACAUGCAAGUCGAACGAGACCUUCGGGUCUAGUGGCGCACGGGUGCGUAACGCGUGGGAAUCUGCCCUUCGGUUGGGAAUAACUGAGAGAAAUUUCAGCUAAUACCUUAUAAUGUCUUCGGACCAAAGAUUUAUCGCCGAGGGAUGAGCCCGCGUAGGAUUAGGUAGUUGGUGGGGUAAUAGCCUACCAAGCCGACGAUCCUUAGCUGGUCUGAGAGGAUGAUCAGCCACACUGGGACUGAGACACGGCCCAGACUCCUACGGGAGGCAGCAGUGGGGAAUAUUGGACAAUGGGCGAAAGCCUGAUCCAGCAAUGCCGCGUGAGUGAUGAAGGCCUUAGGGUUGUAAAGCUCUUUUACCCGGGAUGAUAAUGACAGUACCGGGAGAAUAAGCUCCGGCUAACUCCGUGCCAGCAGCCGCGGUAA